AUUGAACGCUGGCGGCAGGCCUAACACAUGCAAGUCGAGCGGAUGAAGGGAGCUUGCUCCUGGAUUCAGCGGCGGACGGGUGAGUAAUGCCUAGGAAUCUGCCUGGUAGUGGGGGAUAACGUCCGGAAACGGGCGCUAAUACCGCAUACGUCCUGAGGGAGAAAGUGGGGGAUCCUCGGACCUCACGCUAUCAGAUGAGCCUAGGUCGGAUUAGCUAGUUGGUGGGGUAAAGGCCUACCAAGGCGACGAUCCGUAACUGGUCUGAGAGGAUGAUCAGUCACACUGGAACUGAGACACGGUCCAGACUCCUACGGGAGGCAGCAGUGGGGAAUAUUGGACAAAGGGCGAAAGCCUGAUCCAGCCAUGCCGCGUGUGUGAAGAAGGUCUUCGGAUUGUAAAGCACUUUAAGUUGGGAGGAAGGGCAGUAAGUUAAUACCUUGCUGUUUUGACGUUACCAACAGAAUAAGCACCGGCUAACUUCGUG
rnacentral:rRNA from 1 species